CACGUAGGGCGCAAGCGUUGUCCGGAAUUAUUGGGCGUAAAGAACUCGUAGGCGGUCUGUUGCGUCCGCUGUGAAAACUCGGGGCUUAACCCCGAGCCUGCAGUGGAUACGGGCAGACUAGAGGUAGGUAGGGGAGAAUGGAAUUCCCGGUGUAGCGGUGAAAUGCGCAGAUAUCGGGAGGAACACCGGUGGCGAAGGCGGUUCUCUGGGCCUUACCUGACGCUGAUGCGCGAAAGCGUGGGGAGCAAACGGG
rnacentral:rRNA from 1 species